GCAGUCGAACGAAGUCGCCCAAUUGAUUCUUAGUGCUUGCACUAAGAUGAUUUUGGAUCCGACUGAGUGGCGAACUGGUGAGUAACACGUGGGUAACCUGCCCAGAAGAAGGGGAUAACACCUGGAAACAGAUGCUAAUACCGUAUAACAACAAGAACCACAUGGUUCUUGUUUGAAAGCUGGCCUUUGUGCUAGUGCUUCUGGAUGGACCCGCGGCGUAUUAGCUAGUUGGUGAGAUAAUAGCUCACCAAGGCAAUGAUACGUAGCAGACCUGAGAGGGUAAUCUGCCACAAUGGGACUGAGACACGGCCCAUACUCCUACGGGAGGCAGCAGUAGGGAAUCUUCCACAAUGGACGAAAGUCUGAUGGAGCAACGCCGCGUGAGUGAAGAAGGGUUUCGGCUCGUAAAACUCUGUUGUUAGAGAAGAACAGCCGUGAGAGCAACUGCUCACGGUAUGACGGUAUCUAACCAGAAAGUCACGGCUAACUACGUGCCAGCAGCCGCGGUAAUACGUAGGUGGCAAACGUUGUCCGGAUUUAUUGGGCGUAAAGGGAGCGCAGGCGGUUUAUUAAGUCUGAUGUGAAAGCCUUCGGCUUAACCGGAGAAGUGCAUCGGAAACUGAUAAACUUGAGUGCAGAAAAGGAUAGUGGAACUUCAUGUGUAGCG
rnacentral:rRNA from 2 species